GACGAACGCUGGCGGCGUGCUUAACACAUGCAAGUCGAGCGGUAAGGCCCUUUUGGGGGUACACGAGCGGCGAACGGGUGAGUAACACGUGGGUGACCUGCCCUCAGCUCUGGGAUAAGCCUGGGAAACUGGGUCUAAUACUGGAUAUGACCUUUCCUCGCAUGGGGGUUGGGGUGGAAAGUUUUUCGGCUGGGGAGUGGGCCCGCGGCCUAUCAGCUUGUUGGUGGGGUGAUGGCCUACCAAGGCGACGACGGGUAGCCGGCCUGAGAGGGCGACCGGCCACACUGGGACUGAGACACGGCCCAGACUCCUACGGGAGGGCAGCAGUGGGGAAGUAUUGCGCAAUGGGCGGAAGCCUGACGCAGCGACGCCGCGUGGGGGAGUGACGGCCUCGGUU
rnacentral:rRNA from 1 species